GAGGUUAGGUGUCCUCCUAAACAGGAGGACUUCAGUGCUCCUCAUAACAGCAGUUUCCUGUCCUGUCUGGUCUGGGCCAGGUGAGCUAGAGUGACGAGGGCAGUGGAAACAGGCAUCAAGAGGAACGUGUGAUCUUGCUGAGCUGCUUAGUGCCUCGCUAAGUUGCUGAGGCUGGCUUUGAACUUCAAUCCUCCUGCCUCAGCCUCCUGAGUUGCUGGGAUUACAGGGACAAAAGGGAACUGGACACAAGGAUGAUUCACAGCGAUGACGCAGGAGUGCUCUGAGAUUUCCAAAGGCCACGCGCUCAUGGUACCACACCCUGCAGCUAGGAGAAUCUGGGGGUCUGGUGAAGAGAUUUGCAAAAAUGCAAAACAGGACCACUCUCCUCAUUGUUUUUUUGCUUAAAAAUAUUUUUCAUAAAAUUUGAUGUGAACAUGUGAUGAGCUUAUUGGAAUUUUUUAGAAUAAAUAACUCCAUACAUAUUUAAA